AUUUUAAUAGCUUAAUUAGAGUUAAACAUUGAAAAUGUUUGGGUGAUUUAUAUCUUAAAAUA
rnacentral:tRNA from 1 species